CAAUUAUACAGCGAAACUGCGAAUGGCUCAUUAUAUAAGUUAUCGUUUAUUUGAUAGUACCUUACUACUUGGAUAACCGUGGUAAUUCUAGAGCUAAUACAUGCUAAAAAUCCCGACUUCGGAAGGGAUGUAUUUAUUAGAUUAAAAACCAAUGCCCUCUGGGCUCUCUGGUGAUUCAUGAUAACUUCUCGAAUCGCAUGGCCUUGCGCCGGCGAUGGUUCAUUCAAAUUUCUUCCCUAUCAACUUUCGAUGUUUGGGUAGUGGCCAAACAUGGUUGCAACGGGUAACGGAGGGUUAGGGCUCGACCCCGGAGAAGGAGCCUGAGAAACGGCUACUACAUCCAAGGAAGGCAGCAGGCGCGCAAAUUACCCAAUCCCGACACGGGGAGGUAGUGACAAUAAAUACUGAUACAGGGCUCUUUUGGGUCUUGUAAUUGGAAUGAGUACAAUUUAAAUCCCUUAACGAGGAACAAUUGGAGGGCAAGUCUGGUGCCAGCAGCCGCGGUAAUUCCAGCUCCAAUAGCGUAUAUUAAAGUUGUUGUGGUUAAAAAGCUCGUAGUUGAACCUUGGGCCUGGCUGGCCGGUCCGCCUCACCGCGUGUACUGGUCCGGCCGGGCCUUUCCCUCUGUGGAACCCCAUGCCCUUCACUGGGUGUGGCGGGGAAACAGGACUUUUACUUUGAAAAAAUUAGAGUGCUCCAGGCAGGCCUAUGCUCGAAUACAUUAGCAUGGAAUAAUGAAAUAGGACGUGCGGUUCUAUUUUGUUGGUUUCUAGGACCGCCGUAAUGAUUAAUAGGGACAGUCGGGGGCAUCAGUAUUCAAUUGUCAGAGGUGAAAUUCUUGGAUUUAUUGAAGACUAACUACUGCGAAAGCAUUUGCCAAGGAUGUUUUCAUUAAUCAGGAACGAAAGUUAGGGGAUCGAAGACGAUCAGAUACCGUCGUAGUCUUAACCAUAAACUAUGCCGACUAGGGAUCGGACGAUGUUAUUUUUUGACUCGUUCGGCACCUUACGAGAAAUCAAAGUGCUU
rnacentral:rRNA from 1 species